rnacentral:rRNA from 1 species
CGCCUACACAUGCAAGUCGAGCGGAAACGACUUAACUGAACCUUCGGGGAACGUUAAGGGCGUCGAGCGGCGGACGGGUGAGUAAUGCCUAGGAAAUUGCCUUGAUGUGGGGGAUAACCAUUGGAAACGAUGGCUAAUACCGCAUAAUGCCUACGGGCCAAAGAGGGGGACCCCCGGGCCUCUCGCGUCAAGAUAUGGCUAGGUGGGAUUAGCUAGUUGGUGAGGUAAGGGCUCACCAAGGCGACGAUCCCUAGCUGGUCUGAGAGGAUGAUCAGCCACACUGGAACUGAGACACGGUCCAGACUCCUACGGGAGGCAGCAGGGGAAUAUUGCACAAUGGGCGCAAGCCUGAUGCAGCCAUGCCGCGUGUAUGAAGAACC